rnacentral:rRNA from 1 species
GUGGGGAAUCUUCCGCAAUGGACGAAAGUCUGACGGAGCAACGCCGCGUGAGUGAAGAAGGUUUUCGGAUCGUAAAGCUCUGUCAUCAGGGACGAACGGCCGGUGGAGUGGAAAGCCACCGGAUUGACGGUACCUGAGAAGGAAGCCACGGCUAACUACGUGCCAGCAGCCGCGGUAAUACGUAGGUGGCAAGCGUUGUCCGGAAUUAUUGGGCGUAAAGCGCGCGCAGGUGGGAUCUUAAGUCCAUUUUGAAAGUUCGGAGCUCAACUCCGUGAUGGGAUGGAAACUGGGAUUCUUGAGUACCGGAGAGGAAAGCGGAAUUCCCCGUGUAGCGGUGAAAUGCGUAGAUAUGGGGAGGAACACCAGUGGCGAAGGCGGCUUUCUGGACGGUGUCUGACACUGAGGCGCGAAAGCUAGGGGAGCGAACGGGAUUAGAUACCCCAGUAGUCC